rnacentral:rRNA from 1 species
ACGACUCUCGGCAACGGAUAUCUCGGCUCUCGCAUCGAUGAAGAACGUAGCGAAAUGCGAUACCUGGUGUGAAUUGCAGAAUCCCGCGAACCAUCGAGUCUUUGAACGCAAGUUGCGCCCGAGGCCACCCGGUCGAGGGCACGCCUGCCUGGGUGUCACGC